UUGGCCCAUUAUUUCUUUUUUCGAUAAAAUACUUGACCUGUUGUUUGCGUUCAUCUCCUUCUCGAGUAUAGGGUUAAUCGUCUCCCCCAUAAUCUGAUUUCGUCUACCAUCAACGGAGGUUCUGAAAGGUCGUGUGAGUCGAAACUUCCGUGACUGUUCAUGUCGUUUCGCUAUCGAUUCGUCACCUCCUAACCGUUACAAGUUUGAUUGAUUCAUCACCAUUAGGGAUUUCUUAACUCUUUCGACCCACAACAGCCACGAUCCCUCAUUCAAUGACUCUUAUUCCUCUUGCAGUCGGUGAUUCUCCACUCUAUAAAAAGAUUGUCUUGCGUGCAGGAAUAUAAUAUUUUCCGUCCUUUUUAGUGGGCCUAUUUAAUUAGGUAUGGGUGGAGCUUCCUCUGUAGAUUGAUAAUUUGAGAUGGAAAGCUUGAGUUCAGAGCUUCAUAAGCAUAUCUCAUGGUGGGCAACAACAAUGAAGAUUUGGCCUUUAGCUGACUGAGAUGCUAAGGUUUUCCUGCUCAAAAAUGUUCACAAUGGCUGGUAAACUAGGUCUUCUUUGCAUGUCGGGACCAUGGCUCUUUCCAUUUUAGACAGAGAAUGAAUGAAGUGAGAGAGAAUGUCAUUUACAAGAACAGGAACACAUCAGUUUUCAUGCUCUCUUAAUCUGUCUGUGCAGGUCAUGUAUUCCUCAAUGUCAUAUCGGUGACACACUUCCCACAUUAAAGACACCAACUGCAGGCUCCGUAGAGCAAAGAGUGGUUCCUCUGCCACAUCUUCCAAGUAUGGUGAUGUUAAGAAAAUUGAAUCCGUCACAUUAUCUGAAAUUAAUAGCUACGUUCUCAACUCAUCCCUAGUGGUGAAACGCAGUGUUCAGUUCACACAAACGGGCAUCUGAUGCUGUUCCAGUUAUUGAAGGACGUCCAGCCAGCACAGACCCAUAGCCUACGCAUACUGAUUCAGUCAUAACCUCCACCGAGACUCCUAUUGAUGAUGAAAAAGGCCCCAAGUUCAAAGAAAACUAGCAAACACUGAGCACUCCAACUAUGGGUUAUUUGGGUUUUGAUUAUUUAGAAUUAUUAUUGAAUUUGGAAUUAAAUGAUUGUCUUCCAGUACACUAAGUGAACUUUUUUUUCAAGAAA